CCUUUACUGUGUUAACCUCUACCACUUCAGCUGGAAGGCUAUUUCAUGCAUCCACUACCCUCUUACUAAAGUAAUACUUCCUGAAAUUACUUUUAAACCUUGUUUCUAUCAUAUCCCCAGUCUUGUCUUUCCUCCAAGCUAUACAAGUUAAGAUCCUUUAACCUUUCCUGCUAAGUUUUAUCCUGCAAUCCAUGAACCAGUUUAGUAGCCCUUCUCUGAACUCUAAAGGUAUCAAUAUCCUUCUGAAGAUACGG